rnacentral:rRNA from 1 species
AGAGUUUGAUCAUGGCUCAGGACGAACGCUGGCGGCGUGCCUAAUACAUGCAGGUAGAACGCUGAAGUCUGGUGCUUGCACCGGAUGGAUGAGUUGCGAACGGGUGGGUAACGCGUAGGUAACCUACCUCAUAGCGGGGGAUAACUAUUGGAAACGAUAGCUAAUACCGCAUAAUAGUCAUUAACACAUGUUAGAGACUUGAAAGGGGCAAUUGCUUCACUAUGAGAUGGACCUGCGUUGUAUUAGCUAGUUGGUGAGGUAAAGGCUCACCAAGGCGACGAUACAUAGCCGACCUGAGAGGGUGAUCGGCCACACUGGGACUGAGACACGGCCCAGACUCCUACGGGAGGCAGCAGUAGGGAAUCUUCGGCAAUGGGGGGAACCCUGACCGAGCAACGCCGCGUGAGUGAAGAAGGUUUUCGGAUCGUAAAGCUCUGUUGUUAGAGAAGAACGUGUGUGAGAGUGGAAAGUUCACACAGUGACGGUAACUAACCAGAAAGGGACGGCUAACUACGUGCCAGCAGCCGCGGUAAUACGUAGGUCCCGAGCGUUGUCCGGAUUUAUUGGGCGUAAAGCGAGCGCAGGCGGUUCUGUAAGUCUGAAGUUAAAGGCAGUGGCUUAACCAUUGUACGCUUUGGAAACUGCAGGACUUGAGUGCAGAAGGGGAGAGUGGAAUUCCAUGUGUAGCGGUGAAAUGCGUAG